rnacentral:tRNA from 1 species
UGGAACGUAGCUCAGUGGAUGAGAGCGGGUUGCAUCGGGGCAACUGACGUCGGGGGUUCGAGUCCUUCCGUUCCAA